rnacentral:rRNA from 1 species
AUUGAACGCUGUAGGCAGGCCUAACACAUGCACGUCGAGCGAGCGGCGGACGGGUGAGUACUGUCUGGGAGACUGACUGAUGGAGGGGGCUAACUACUGGCACCGGUAGCUAAUACAGCGUACCAUCAGAUGGGACCAGAUGGGACUGGCUGGUAUGUGGGGUAACGGCUCACCUAGUCGACGAUCCCUAGCGGGUCUGCGCGGAUGACCAGCCACACUGGAACUGAGACACGGUCCAUACUCCUGCGGACGGCAGCAGCGGGGAAUAUUGCACUAUGGGCGCAAGCCCGAUGCAGCCAUGCCGCGUGUGUGAAGAAGGCCUUCUGGUUGUAAAGCACUUUCAGCGGGGAGGCGUUACCCGCAGAAGAAGCACCGUCUAACUCCGUGCCAGCAGACGCGGUAAUAC